CCUACGGGAGGCAGCAGUGAGGAAUAUUGGUCAAUGGGCGGAAGCCUGAACCAGCCAAGUAGCGUGCAGGAUGACGGCCCUACGGGUUGUAAACUGCUUUUAUACGGGAAUAACGCGCCUUACGUGUAGGGCUUUGCAUGUACCGUAUGAAUAAGGACCGUCUAAUUCCGUGCCAGCAGCCGCGGUAAUACGGAAGGUCCGGGCGUUAGCCGGAUGUAUUGGGUUGAAAGGGAGCGUAGGCCGCAUGUCAAGCGUGCUGUGAAAUGUCCGGGCUCAACCCGGGCCUUGCAGCGCGACCUGGCGUGCUUGAGUCCGCGGAAGGCAGGCGGAAUUCGUCGUGUAGCGGUGAAAUGCUUAGAUAUGACGAAGAACCCCGAUUGCGAAGGCAGCUUGCUGCAGCGGAACUGACGCUGAUGCUCGAAAGCGCGGGUAUCGAACAGGAUUAGAUACCCGGGUAGUC
rnacentral:rRNA from 1 species